GAAGUGCGAUAAGCAAUGCGAAUUGCAGAACCGUGAGUCAUCAGAUUUUUGAACGCAACUGGCGCCGACUGGCUCUCCAGUCGGCAUGCUUGUUUCAGUGUCUCUUUAUCUCAUCACCCAGAUCAUAAUGCGAGAGAUACCCUUCUCUUGCUAAGCAUGAAAGCACUCUGCGCUCUGCGAGCGACUUUGACUAGUUCGAGGUCGCACUCAAUGCAGCAGUCACAUUGCUCACAAUGUGAACUCAUUGAGAGCUGAGGCAGUGCGGUGCAAACCGCCAGUGCUUAGUCACACAAACUUUCUUUGCAUCUGAAAUCAAGCAGGAUCACCCGCUGAACUUAAGC
rnacentral:misc_RNA from 1 species